GCGGAGGAAAAGAAACCAACAGGGAUUGCCCCAGUAACGGCGAGUGAAGCGGCAACAGCUCAAAUUUGAAAUCUGGUCCCCCCGCGGGGCCCGAGUUGUAAUUUGAAGAGGAUGCUUCUGAACAAAGUGCCGUCCGAGUUCCCUGGAACGGGACGCCGCAGAGGGUGAGAGCCCCGUACGGUCGGACGCCGAGCCUCUGUGAAGCUCCUUCGACGAGUCGAGUAGUUUGGGAAUGCUGCUCAAAAUGGGAGGUAAACCCCUUCUAAAGCUAAAUACCGGCCAGAGACCGAUAGCGCACAAGUAGAGUGAUCGAAAGAUGAAAAGCACUUUGAAAAGAGAGUUAAAAAGCACGUGAAAUUGUUGAAAGGGAAGCGCUUGCGACCAGACUCGCGCCCGUCGGAUCAGCCGUCGCUCGUCGGCGGCGCACUCCGGCGGGCUCGGGCCAGCAUCAGUUCGCCUCGGGGGGAGAAAGGCGGCGGGAAUGUGGCUCUACGGAGUGUUAUAGCCCGCCGCGUAAUAC
rnacentral:rRNA from 1 species